AUUAUAAGUAAAGCUUAUGGUGGAUACCUAGGUAUUUAGUAGUAAUUAAAGGCGUGACUACCAACGAAAUACCUCGAAUAAUUGGAAGUAAAUAAUGACUCGAGGAUUCCUAAUUGAAUAAAAUAUUAUCUUUUAAAUAAAACUGAUAAUUUUUAUAAUACACAAACUCAGUGAACUGAAACAUCUUAGUAACUGAAGGAAAAGAAAGCAAAAGCGAUUCCCUUAGUAGUGGCGAGCGAAAAGGGAACAGCCCAAACUGUGAAACAAAAUCUCUUUGUUACACAGGGUAUGGAAAAAUAUCUUUGUAAUGUUAAAAUUAGAUGAAACAAUUGGAAUCUUGUCUAAUAUAAGGUAACAAGCCUGUAAUCAAAAAUUUUUAUUAUAAUAAUUUUAUUCCUGAGUAACAUAAAAUAAGUUAAAUUUUGUGCGAAUUAACGAGGACCACCUCGUAAGGCUAAAUAUUCCUAAAUAACCGAUAGUGAACUAGUAUUGUGAAAGAAAGGUGAAACAGAACCCUGAAAAGGGAGUGAAACAGAGCAUGAAACCAUAAGUGUACAAGCUGUAGAAAAACGACUGAUCGUUUAACUGUGUGCAUGUUGAAGAAUGAGCCGACGACUUAUAAAUAAUGGCAGGUUAAAUUAAAUAACAAAGAUGGAGCCAUAGUGAAAGCGAGCUUAAAUAAAGCGAUAGUCAUUAUUUAUAGACCCGAACCCGGAUGAUCUAACCAUGGCCAGGAUGAAAAAAAGGUAAUACUUUUUGAAGGUCCGAACCGACUAAUGUUGAAAAAUUAGCGGAUGAGCUGUGGUUAGAGGUGAAAUGCCAAUCGAAUCCGGAGCUAGCUGGUUCUCUCCGAAAUGUGUUUUGGCACAGCGAUUAAUAUAUUUCUUAAGGGGUAAAGCACUAUUUGAAUUAAAGCUAUUAUAAUAGAAUUAUAUUCAUAUAAACUCUGAAUACUUAAGUAUUAUAAAUUAAUUAGUCAGACUAUAGGGGAUAAGCUCUAUUGUCAAAAGGGAAACAGCCCAGAUCAUCAGCUAAGGCCCUUAAAUAAUUACUAAGUGAGAAAGGACGUGAAAAUACUAUAACAACUAGAAGGUUAGCUUAGAAGCAGCGAUCCUUUAAAGAGUGCGUAAUAGCUCACUGGUUUAGUAGUUUUGCACCGAAAAUAAUCAGGACUAAGUAAUUUGCCGAAUCUAUGAGAUAUUAUAACUAUAAUAUAUCGGUAGGAGAGCGUUCUGUAUUAAUUAGAAGCAUUAGCGUUAGCGGAUGUGGAUGAAGCAGAAGUGAGAAUGUCGGCUUGAGUAACGAAAACAUUGGUGAGAAUCCAAUGCUCCGAAAACCUAAAGUUUCCUUCGCAAGGUUCGUCCUCGAAGGGUUAGUCAGAACCUAAGAUAAGGUUGAAAAACGUAGUUGAUGGAUAAAAGGUUAAUAUUCCUUUACUAUUUGAUUCUAUUAAAAAUAAAUGACGAAAUUUUGUUAUAUUGACCGAAAGUUGGUUAUCGGUGAAAAUUAUAUUAACUUCUAUUCUUUGUCUUGUUGUUAAAAAGUUUUACAAAUAUCUUAAAUAUUAAGAAACGUAAAUAUAAAGUCUAUUUCCAAGAAAAGUUGAUUUUUAGUUAAAGAACAAAUAUCUGUACUAUAAUCUGACACAAGUAGGUAGGUAGAGUAUACUAAGGAGCGCGAGAUAAUUCUCUCUAAGGAACUAGGCAAAAUAGCUCUGUAACUUCGGAAGAAAGAGUGCCUCUCUUAUUUUAUAAGAAGGUUGCAAUAACAAGGUUCAAACGACUGUUUAUCAAAAACAUAGGUUUCCGCUAAAUCGUAAGAUGAUGUAUGGAAGCUGACGCCUGCCCAGUGUCGGAAAGUGAAAAUUAUUUGUAAUAUAUAACUAUAUAGAGCUUAUAAUUUAAUCUUCGAUGAACGGCGGCCGUAACUAUAACGGUCCUAAGGUAGCGAAAUUCCUUGUCGGGUAAGUUCCGACCCGCACGAAAGGCGUAACGAUUUGAACACUGUCUCAGAGAGACACUCGGUGAAAUAGAAUUGUCUGUGAAGAUGCGGACUACUUACACCUGGACAGAAAGACCCUAUGAAGCUUUACUGUAACCUGAAAUUGUAUUUGAAAAUAACUUGUGCAGCAUAAAUGGGAAAUAAUAAAUUAAAUAUUAUUAUUGUCAGUGAGAUACCAUUCUGGUUAUUCUAAAAUACUUACUUUAUUUAUCGUUAUCCGAUAAAAGAACAGUUUUUGGAAGACAGUUUGACUGGGGCGGUCGCCUCCUAAAAAGUAACGGAGGCGUGCAAAGGUUUUUUCAAAUUGUACAUAAAUCAAUUGUAGAAUAUAAAGGUAUAAAAAAGCUUGACUGUAAGACUAACAAGUCAAACAGAGACGAAAGUCGGCCUUAGUGAUCCGACAGUACUGAGUGGAAAGGCUGUCGCUCAACGGAUAAAAGUUACUCUAGGGAUAACAGGCUGAUCUCCCCCAAGAGUUCACAUCGACGGGGAGGUUUGGCACCUCGAUGUCGGCUCAUCGCAUCCUGGGGCGGUAGCACGUCCCAAGGGUUGGGCUGUUCGCCCAUGAAAGCGGUACGCGAGCUGGGUUCAGAACGUCGUGAGACAGUUCGGUCCAUAUCCGGUGUAAGCGUUAGAGUAUUGAAAGGAUUUCUUCUUAGUACGAGAGGACCAGAAGAAGCAUACCAAUGGUGUACCAGUUAUUGUGCCAACAGUAUACGCUGGGUAGCUAAGUAUGGUUAAAAUAAUCACUGAAAGCAUAUAAGUGAGAAAUUGACCUUAAGAUGAGUACUCUUUAUUACUUUGACUAAAGUAAAAAAGAUCACGGAAAGAUUAACCGUUUAAUAGGCAUUAAGUCUAAGUAUAGAAAUAUAUAGAGCUAAGAUGUACUAACA
rnacentral:rRNA from 1 species